rnacentral:lncRNA from 1 species
GAGGGAAGUAUGGACGGCCGGGCCGGGCCGGGCCGGGCGGAGCGUGAAGCCGGGUUAGGGCCCGCCGGGUUUGGGCCCACCGGCUCUCAUCGGUCAUCAAGAACUUGCAGAAAGCCGGGCACGGUGGCUCGCGGUUGUAAUCCCAACACUGUGGGAGUCCAAGGCGCGAAGAUCGCUUGAGCCGAGGAGUUAGAGACCAACUUGGGCAACGUAGGAGACCUCCGUCUCCACAAGUAAAAUUAAUUAGCCGGCUGUGGUGGCGCGCACCUGUGGUCCCAGCUACUCAGGAGGCUGAGGUGUCAGUUGCGGAGCUGGUAUUGUACAUGUCCUCGCAUUUGGCCCUCCUGAAAAUCCGAGAGAGGAGAUGAUGUGUCCAAGGUCACUCUGAGAACUGAACAGAGGGCCGCCUUCUGGGACCCAAGACUCCAGGUUCCAGCCCACUGCCCAGCUGCCUCACCCUGUCAUGAGCACAAUAAAGGAGUUUCAUGAUUAUGUGGAUGUGUCUUUGCAAUCACUCACACUGAGGAUCAUGCUUAUCAUGAAUUAGCCAUUAGUGAUAGCAGCUGGCAACAUCUUAAAGUGGAAAGAGCUGCUUCAGGGCCAGACUCCUUUUAUUCAAAUCCUGGCUCUGACACAAGCAGUACCUCUGUGGCUGGGAGAAUUAACUUCACCUCAGGGAACCUCGAAUUAGGAGUCAGGUUCCAAGAUGCAAACAACACCAACAGCUGUGGGUUUUGAAAACAAUAAAAUUGGAGG